GCCCCGGUAGCUCAAUCGGAAAGAGCACGAUUCUCACGAAGUCGAGGAUGUGGGUUCGAGUCCCACCCGGGGCACCU
rnacentral:tRNA from 1 species